rnacentral:rRNA from 1 species
UACAGAGGUCUCAAGCGUUGUUCGGAUUCAUUGGGCGUAAAGGGUGCGUAGGCGGCGCGGUAAGUCGGGUGUGAAAUCUCGGGGCUUAACUCCGAAACUGCAUUCGAUACUGCCGUGCUUGAGGACGGGAGAGGAGACUGGAAUUUACGGUGUAGCGGUGAAAUGCGUAGAUAUCGUAAGGAAGACCAGUGGCGAAGGCGGGUCUCUGGACAGUUCCUGACACUGAGACACGAAGGCCAGGGGAGCAAACGGG